rnacentral:tRNA from 1 species
GAGGAUGUAGCUCAGUGGUAGAGCACAUGCUUAGCAUGCAGAAGGUCCUGGGUUCAAUCCCCAGUACCUCCA